rnacentral:rRNA from 1 species
GUGGGGAAUAUUGGACAAUGGGGGGAACCCUGAUCCAGCAAUGCCGCGUGUGUGAAGAAGGCCUGAGGGUUGUAAAGCACUUUCGGUGGGGAGGAGAGUAAUCAGGUUAAGAGCUAGAUUGCUGGACGUUACCCGCAUAAGAAGCACCGGCUAACUCCGUGCCAGCAGCCGCGGUAAUACGGAGGGUGCGAGCGUUAAUCGGAAUUACUGGGCGUAAAGAGUGCGUAGGUGGUUAAUUAAGUUAUCUGUGAAAUUCCUGGGCUUAACCUGGGCAGGUCAGAUGAUACUGGUUGACUCGAGUAUGGGAGAGGGUAGUGGAAUUUCCGGUGUAGCGGUGAAAUGCGUAGAGAUCGGAAGGAACACCAGUGGCGAAGGCGGCUACCUGGCCUAAUACUGACACUGAGGCACGAAAGCGUGGGGAGCAAACAGG